rnacentral:piRNA from 1 species
UGCCGCCCUAGUUGCUGGGACUAAAGG